rnacentral:snoRNA from 1 species
UCGGUGGCUGUGAUGCGUAUUGAUAAGGGAUUUUCUGAGGGAUGGAGACCUAGUGUGGUUUUCCUCCUCCUGAUUGAGAGAAACCAAUGGAUCCUUCUGAGCCUAUCU